rnacentral:lncRNA from 10 species
AAACAAACAUAUUUGCUUUUCUACAUUGAAUUUAAGACUCUGAUAGCUGCCAAAAUUGUCAGCAUAACAUAUUAUGGCUUCUGAAGAGAAAAGAAAAGAAUAUCCCAAUGCUGAAAACUUAACACUAUUGUGACACCAGACACCAGAGUGCAAGGAAGGACUCCCAAAGCAAUGAAGCAUCAAUUCUGUGCUCGAUGUCACCAAUCAAUUGCACAAAUCGCUCCCAGUGAUUCUCACUAAAUGGACAUUGGAAUGGAUCUACAGCACUGAAUGAAGAGUUAGUAGCAAAAGACCUCAACCAAAUAAAACUACCUUUACCAGAAAAAAAAAAAUCAUUCAUAGAGAGAAAACAAGAAAGAAAAAGCAAAAAAGAGACUUCCGAGUCCUGCCAUUCCCUCAAAUUAUAAAGAAACAUCAUAAAAGAAAUCAACAGUGUCCUUUGUUGCAAACACUCCAGAGCAAUCAUGACAUCUGAGCAGUAGUCUUGUGAAAAGACUUCAUCCUAGAACAUCUACUUUGGUAACAGCUCCACUACACUAUCAAUGAAAACCACUUUCAAUUUUCCAUUGUUCUCACGUUUGCAGUCACUAGGAACAAUGAGAUAGCUCAGCACUAUUUUAAAGGCACUACAACAUUUUCUAAUAAAAAAUGAUGCUAACUUAUGGGUUUAACAUUUUCCCAUCUUUCAGAAAAUUACACACGUACUUGCCUCCAAAUUUGGCAUUGGAUGUGGAUACACGAUCUAAUGCCAUUAUAUUCAUGUUCACUUAAACUUCUUAAUAGGUGGGCAUAGAGUAAGCGGUUUCAAAAGAACAGUGCUGUGCUCUCUGGAUAACAUGCAUGGUGGCUGUGCUUAAUGUUAAUAGCAGCAGUCAGGAAUCUGAGUUAUAUUGCUCCCGUAUUGAACUAAUAUGUGAUCUUUGACAAGUCACUUAAUCUUUCAUCUUUCUUAACUAUAACGAUAGUUUAUCUAAAUUAUAAUAGCAGAUAAUAAUACCUGGCUUGGAGUAAUGUGGUAAGACUUGAUUAAUUGUCAUAUGUGAAACACUUUAGGGUCUUUGAAUAAGAUGUAUUACUAAAGUGCAAGGCAUUAAUAUUAUUCACCCAUUAACAAUGUUUUCCUGUGUAAUGGUCCAAUAUACUAUCAGUUUAAGAUACAUACGGGGAUACUCUUAAGGUGUAGUAAGAGAAUAAGCAUUUUACCAUUCUUUGCAUACACUGAUGUUGUACAAACCAGCCUACUUUAUAGAAUAUUCAAUAUAGUUACUAAAUUCCACACUGACUGUUUUAUUAUGCUAAUUGAUAAUCUGGUUGCUCCAAAGAUUAAAGAAAAAUGAAAUUAAACUGAAAAAUCAAAGGGUAACAACUUUAUAAUGCCUCUUUAAUUUAGCGAAAUACAAUUAAAGUCACACAGUGGUAGAAUUGACUGUGAAUACUAAGAUGACUAUAAUUGACAAAGUAAAUGUUACAGAGCCAAGCUGAAUAAAAGCAAAGGAAAAUGCCAAUAAAAUUCAGUGUCAUGGGAUAUCUAUGUAGGCUCACUAAAAUAAACUAUAAGACAUACAUAGAUGUCACAGAAAAGGAUGUUCUGAAGAAUGCUUAUGUCACUAGAAAAGCUUUUAGAAUCAGAUAAAAAUGAACACAUUUUAAAGUAACACAAACAUUCAUUGUUGUCCUUACUAGAGGAAAAACAUGAUGCUGCAAAAGAAUUAGACUUUACUAACUAAGCUUAUUUAUUAUUAUUACUUGAUAUUUGUAAACGCAUUGGACUCAAUAUUGCCUGCUUUAAAUAAAAACAUAGACAAAACAUGCAUGAGCACACGUGUAUAUUUGCACACACACACACACACACACACACGAGGUCUAUGAGUGCAGUAUACAAUUUAAAUGUCCAAUUGAAUAAUAACUUCGAUGAGUUUCCCUGAUGAAGCUAGUAGGAUUUGGCUUAUUCUGUUAUAUAAGUUUACAAUUAAAGUUCUUUACAUCAUUACAGCCUUAAUGGAAAAAAUGUGUACACUUAGAUACUGUUGGCGGGGGUGGGUGGUAUACUGAUACAAAGUCAUAGGUCAGCAAUUGCAUAAUAUCUUUAAAAUUCUUAUAAAAUUCUUCUUCUGGGAAUUUAGCAUCCAUAAUGCUGUAUUCUUGCAUUCUGAUUUUUUCACCAAAAAUCUUGGAAGGACAGAGUAACCUUUACCAAAGGAAAACUAUCUCUGGAGUAAGAGUAACUUUUAAAUUCAUACAAAAAUGUAUAUAUGUUUUGUUUUAGAAAUAAACUUUUCCCCAAAUAUUUAACGAAAAGAUGCUACGUCAUUCUUACUCCUGCAUCUGUCUGUAACUCUCAGCAUGCCACAAAGAUACAAAGAUAGAAAUUGUGAAAAAUAGUAUGAAGUGAAUGAACAGGGGACAGUGAUGGAGUACAGAUAAAUGGAAAAUCCUUACUUUGGUACAAUGGCAUCUUUAAGAAACAGGGUGUGCAAGGGUUCAGAGGGGCA